AAGAUUUCUGGAAUGAUUCUUGGUCAAAAUCUAUAUGGCCUCUGGAUUGGACUGCGGCCGAUCAGGCUGUUGGUGAGGUAAUGGCCCACCAAACCUAUAACCGGUACGGGCUCUGAGAGGAGAAGCCCGGAGAUGGGCACUGAGACAAGGGCCCAGGCCCUAUGGGGCGCAGCAGGCGCGAAACCUUUGCAAUAGGCGAAAGCCUGACAAGGUUACUCUGAGUGAUUUCCGCUAAGGGGAUCUUUUGACACCUCUAAAAAUGGUGUAGAAUAAGGGGUGGGCAAGUCUGGUGUCAGCCGCCGCGGUAAUACCAGCACCCCGAGUGGUCGGGACGAUUAUUGGGCCUAAAGCAUCCGUAGCCGGUUUUACAAGUCUUCCGUUAAAUCCAGCCGCUCAACGGAUGGGCUGCGGAGGAUACUGUAGAACUAGGAGGCGGGAGAGGCAAGCGGUACUUAGUGGGUAGGGGUAAAAUCCACUGAUCCAUUGAAGA
rnacentral:rRNA from 1 species